AACCUAAACCCGUGCAUCAUUCCUGGAACACCCAGAGGAUGAAGACCGAAGAUAACUGAGGCUGACUACACAUCCUGUACUCACCAAGAUUCAGUUCUUAUAUAUGUACCUAUUGUUUAGCAAGCCCUGGCUGGUUAAUCUGUCUGGAGUCAAAAUAACAAUAUUUGGUAAUAACAAAGUCUCCCGAGGCUGAUACCCCAGUAGUUUCCUAUGGUAGAAAUUCUAUGUGGUUGUUAUUAAUUCCCAGUGAGGAGAACUGGUCUUGUGAUUUUUAUCGUCAGAUAAAACUGAUUUAAAUGUCUAUUUUAAAAAGCAGCAAUGUAGCCACAAAACCGUUCUCAAAACAGCCUUCUUCCAAACUGGACAAAUUGUCUUUUCUUAACUACUUCCAGUGAUGUCUAACCAGUCUCUGUCAGCUGUAUGCUUUAUUGGCACUUUCGGAACGGCAAGCAUCUGUCUUCGUCUUCCCACUCUAAUGCUGAGUGGCUCUAAGUUCUUGUUUCAGAAAUUAGUAUGUUUUCCCUGUCACUGGGUCUGCUGCGCAGCAGAGCUCCUUUUAAGGUUUCUGUGGCUCAGGACCAUGAGUAUGGUGAGGUAGUAGAUGGUUAAGCCCGUGGAUUUUGCAGCAGUAUUGUGCAGAAGAAAAUUUUAAGAACUUCAGUUUUCUUCCUGAUCUAAUAAAUAUAUGUUAUGACCUCAUAAUCUAGCUGGCAUUACUAGAGUCAACUGUGUGUUUAUUUGUUUUGAUUUGGAAGACAAGAAUUCUGAAAAUGCAUGAAGACCCAAACUGAAAAAUUAUGGUAAGCAUUGACAAUUUAUGCUUUUGAUGUUUUGUGCAGACUAAUAAACUCUCCAUACAUAAGGAACUCAAAAUCAUGCAUUCCUACCAAUCUUUAUCACACUACCAAAAUUUACGUCACCCAGUCACAGUUCCAAAUGGGCCUGGCGCCUAUUGAGGCUCACCCGAAAAACUCAACUAUUCUACACCAUAUUCAUCCCAUUUCUACCCCAAGUUUAUGGGAAUUUUUUUUAUGCCACAGAUUGAGUUUUGUGCUUCUCAGUGUUUUCUUCCUUGGAGUGUGUGCCUCAUGAACACACUUACCUAAGAGAUCAGCAUUGCCUAGAAUCCAUGUGCACACACCAGGUUGAUGUGUAAUAUGUUUUGUGAGUAUUUUGGGGGCAUUAUACUCAUUUACAUCAUAAAUAGAGACCAAAAAUAGAAAUUAUGGACUGUUUAAUUAGGUUUGUUUUUUUGAGUCAGGACCUCAUACCCUAGGUUGGCUUUGAACUUGCUGUAUAGCUAAGGUUGGCCUUGAACUUCUGACCUUCCUGCUUUUACCUCCCAGGUUCUGUUACUGUAAGUGUGUACCACAGACCUGGCUCUGUAUUUUUGUUGGUGGUGGUGGUUUUUGUUUUUGGUUUCGAGGCAUUAUGUAACUAACAAUGACCGGCCUGGAACUUGCUGAUCUUGAGCUUCUGACAAUCCUCCUGCCUCCACCUCUAGAGAGCUGAGAUUACAGACAUGCGCCACCAUUCUUGGCAAGGUUUGGCUCUUGAGUAAGGUUUUAAAGUAUACUCAGUGGUAAAGCACUGGCUAUGAGGUCUAGCUCUGAGACCCUCCACCUCCAAAGGGCCUUGGGAUGGUUACUAAUCUUUAUAUACUAGAACUUUGAACUCUCAAUUCCCUACCCUAACUGAAGACUUAUGGUUAUAAAAUCUGGGCCGGAGGGUGCUUUUUUGUUUAAUUGCGAUAAAGCAUCAAAAUUUUCACCAUUGCCACCAUUUUUAUGUUCAAUUCAGGAAAUGCCUGUGCCUUUAAUGAAGCGUUUGCAGAACUUUCAAUUGUGCAGGUCUUAAAAUCUUCUAUGAUUAAGAUAAGAGUUCUCCUUCCUCCCUCUCCUUUCCCACAGCCCCUGGCAGGCACCAUUCUGUCUCCUGUUAUGACCGCAAGUUCAUCUCAUUUAGCAUGUGACAGAAUUUCCUUUUUUAGGGCUGAAUAAUCUGCACAUUUGCUAGAUCUUGUGGAUCAUUCAUCGACUGGCGGGCAUUGACUGCUUCCCUCUCUUGGUUAUUAUAAAGGAUAUUGCUAUGGAUAUGAGCAGGUAUCUCCUUUUUAACGUGGUACCUUAUUAAUCACUUUGCUGUAUCGCAUUACCUUGGCAACUAUUUUAAAGCGUUAGAAUUGUAGGCUUGCUUAUGCUGUAUAAACUGUUCCUCCUAAGCUUAAAGGAUCUCUAAUAAAAUCUCAGAUUCCCUGU
rnacentral:lncRNA from 1 species